GUUCGAGUGUGAAGAGAACUCUCCAAUAAACGGUAAGCAGACCUCAAUUUAAAAGCGAAAACGUAAUGAAAAUACAAAUAGGGCAUUGAAAGAACAUUAUUGUAACUCUUAUGACGCACACGGUUAAUACAUGUUAAAGACUGUAGGCGAAUUGUGGGAUCUGCUCUACGUGUUUUACAGCCUUCAGAAGUUCUAAAAAGUAUAAUUGAAUUGAUAUGGAAUUGAUUUGAAAAUAUUCGUUUUCCUGCCUGUCUAGGCAAGCCGGGGCAAGCACCUAGUCUAAAAGUAGACAAUUACAAUGAUAAAGUGGCAGCAUUUAAGGGGGAACCACUGCCAAAGUAGGCAAUUGUACACUUGAGCACCCAAAUUAGAAUAAUACAUUUCCAUGUCAAUGAUCGCACAAUUGCACAGCACUGCAUGUUCAAACAUGUUGCGUGUGUCGUGUGCAAUGUAUCAAAUAAAACAUUAUGUUAUUACUGCAGUGCUAUAGGGUGAGUAUAAUUUGGUUGUGUCCAACAUAAUUAAUUUGGAUAAAUAAUCAAAUAUCAUGGUCCAGCAAAUGAACAUUGAUAGAGAAAAUUUGACCACGAAAUAUUAUAUUACAAAUAUCCUAUUCUCUUUCUAAUGGGAAUUUGUUGUGCUGCAUGAAAUAGGAUAGAAAACGUUAUUGGCCUAUGUUUUACAUAUAUAUAUUAUUUACAUGUUUAGCUUACUGUUUUCUUAUCUGUCCAUUAGAUGUCCCAGGGUGGGGUUUGCCCUAUGUUACUUAUUUAAGAACAAGAACAUAUCAUUUAUUAUAAUUGACCAAUAAAAAGCAACCCAAGAUAGACAGCCAAGCGACUUGGCCCGCAGGGGUUCAUUCCAGUAUUCCCACAUCCAGAACACUGUUAUUGUUGACAAUCACUGCCUGUUAUUUCUUUAGGAAAUACUGUCUUCAUUCUAUUCCAUGAACUGCAUUGUUGGUUAAGGGCUUGACAGUUAGACAUGUCCUGUAUCCUGUGGGUCCGUGUGUGACGUGGGAUGAGACAAGACAGAGGUAGUGAGUUGAGACCAGCAGUGUAGCAGCAGCAGUGGCGCCAGGGCACUGACCUUCUCAGACACAACCAUCACUCAACAAUCUGCUUAGCCGGUCCCCUCCUCCUCCAUCCCCCUAUUCCUGUCUCACCCACAGCUCUCUCUCUCUCUCCAUCCCCCUACCCCUCUCCACCCAUCUCUCUCUUCCUCUGAUGAUGAGCCAGACCCAGGCUAUAUGGAAGUCUCUGGUUCUCGGCAGCACUAGUCUUCAAACGUCACUUACCCUAUAUUAAGCAGUUUGUUUUUGCUACUUGUUUUGGUAGUUUGUGUUGAUUAAACCAAUUUAAUUGUGUUUCUCCCUCUGCUCUGUCUCCCGCCCCCAUCUCCUCUGCUCUGCC